rnacentral:rRNA from 1 species
GUGGGGAAUAUUGGACAAUGGGCGAAAGCCUGAUCCAGCAAUGCCGCGUGAGUGAUGAAGGCCCUAGGGUUGUAAAGCUCUUUUACCCGGGAUGAUAAUGACAGUACCGGGAGAAUAAGCUCCGGCUAACUUCGUGCCAGCAGCCGCGGUAAUACGAGGGGAGCUAGCGUUGUUCGGAAUUACUGGGCGUAAAGCGCGCGUAGGCGGUUUUUUAAGUCAGAGGUGAAAGCCCGGGGCUCAACCCCGGAAUUGCCUUUGAAACUGGAAAACUAGAAUCUUGGAGAGGUCAGUGGAAUUCCGAGUGUAGAGGUGAAAUUCGUAGAUAUUCGGAAGAACACCAGUGGCGAAGGCGACUGACUGGACAAGUAUUGACGCUGAGGUGCGAAAGCGUGGGGAGCAAACAGGAUUAGAUACCCUUGUAGUCC